ACCUAUGCCUCCAUUUUUUCCUGCUGUGGACAACCUUUGAGUUCCCUGGGCCUGUUUAUGCCAUGGAGUUUUUCUUUCUAGGGCCACAGCCUGAAGCUUGGAAUCGAGUUUGGGACUGAAAAGAUAUGUCUGAAUGUUUCAUGAGGAAUCUGUAGAGAUAUACCAGUUCCUGUGACUUUAUUUAGUACCAUCAUCGACAGAAGCAAAAGUCCUUAUCUGCUGAAAUCUUUAUUGACAUACUUAAGUGGCGAAAUAAUAUGUCAGGGUUUUACUUUAAAAUACUUCAGGAUCAAAAACAGAGGGAAAAUAGAGAAAGCUUACUCAUUGGAAUUCUAAGGACAGCUCCAGUUAACAUGAAAGUAAAAAUAAAAACCCAGAAAACCUUUUGGACAGAUUACAACAAAGAAGAAUUCUGAUACCUCUUGUAGAUUCAUUUUCCACCCCAAAGAUUAGGUAACAAAGGAGAUGUGGGAGAGAAAGAAACAAAAUGGGAGAGAAAUUGAGAUAAGAGAGGACCAUGUGAAGGAGGUGAAGUAUUUAAAGUGGAAAGGAGGAAAAUAACCUGAACUCUUAACUGCUCUUGAAAGUUCACUCUGUCUUCACUCCAGCUCUAUUGACUGAUUACCUGUAGCCCACUUGCUAUUCAACAGUCUUUAUCAAAGACAGAUCACUUGGAUACUUUUGUAUGAGUGGUGUCACAAAAAGACAUCUUGAGCCACCAAAUAAGGUGCAAUAUACAAACCAGAAGUCCCAUUCAGCCCAGUAUUUGUUCUCAAAUGUCAUAAAUGCUGUGGACAAGAAA
rnacentral:lncRNA from 1 species